rnacentral:rRNA from 1 species
UACGGGAGGCAGCAGUGGGGAAUAUUGCACAAUGGGCGCAAGCCUGAUGCAGCCAUGCCGCGUGUAUGAAAAAGGCCUUCGGGUUGUAAAGUACUUUCAGUCGCGAGGAAGGUGUUAAGGUUAAUAACCUUAGCAAUUGACGUUAGCGACAGAAGAAGCACCGGCUAACUCCGUGCCAGCAGCCGCGGUAAUACGGAGGGUGCGAGCGUUAAUCGGAAUUACUGGGCGUAAAGGGCACGCAGGCGGUUAAUUAAGUUGGAUGUGAAAUCCCCGGGCUUAACCUGGGAAUGGCAUUCAAGACUGGUUAGCUAGAGUCUUGUAGAGGGGGUAGAAUUCCAUGUGUAGCGGUGAAAUGCGUAGAGAUGUGGAGGAAUACCGGUGGCGAAGGCGGCCCCUGGACAAAGACUGACGCUCAUGUGCGAAAGCGUGGGGAGCAAACAGGGAUUAGAUACCCGU